GGGUGCAAGCGUUAUCCGGAUUCACUGGGUUUAAAGGGUGCGUAGGCGGAUAUGUAAGUCCGUGGUGAAAUCUCUGGGCUUAACCCGGAAACUGCCAUGGAUACUAUGUGUCUUGAAUGUUGUUGAGGUGAGCGGAAUAUGUCAUGUAGCGGUGAAAUGCUUAGAUAUGACAUAGAACACCAAUUGCGAAGGCAGCUCACUAAGCAAAUAUUGACGCUGAGGCACGAAAGCGUGGGGAUCAAACAGG
rnacentral:rRNA from 1 species